rnacentral:rRNA from 2 species
UACGUAGGGUGCAGGCGUUAAUCGGAAUUACUGGGCGUAAAGCGUGCGCAGGCGGUCUGCUAAGACAGGUGUGAAAUCCCCGGGCUUAACCUGGGAACUGCGCUUGUUACUGGCAGGCUGGAGUGUGGCAGAGGGGGGUGGAAUUCCACGUGUAGCAGUGAAAUGCGUAGAGAUGUGGAGGAACACCGAUGGCGAAGGCAGCCCCCUGGGCUAACACUGACGCUCAUGCACGAAAGCGUGGGGAGCAAACAGG